GACAGAGGGUGCAAACGUUGUUCGGAUUUACUGGGCGUAAAGCGUGUGUAGGCGGCUUGGCAAGUUGGAUGUGAAAUCCCGCGGCUCAACCGUGGACGUGCAUCCAAAACUGCUUCGCUAGAGUCUCGGAGAGGAAGGUGGAAUGCUUGGUGUAGAGGUGAAAUUCGUAGAUAUCAAGCAGAACACCUGCGGCGAAGGCGGCCUUCUGGACGAUGACUGACGCUGAGACACGAAAGCGUGGGGAGCAAACAGG
rnacentral:rRNA from 1 species